GGGUGUCACUUAUGGGGCAGCGCGGUCACUUAUGGGUCUCUGGGCGUCACUUAUGGGGCUGUGGGUGUCACUUAUGGGUCUCGUGGCGUCACUUGUGGGGCAGGCUCGAAUUACUACGUGCGCAUCCUGAGCAUCACGGUCACUUAUGGGGCAGUGCUGUCACUUAUGGGGCAGUGCUGUCACUUAUGGGUCUCUGGGCCUCACUUAUGGGGCAGUGUGGUCACUUAUGGGGCUGUGGGUGUCACUUAUGGGUCUCGUGGCGUCACUUGUGGGGCAGGCUCCAAUUACUAUGUGCGCAUCCUGAGCAUCACUUAUGGGGCAGUGCUGUCACUUAUGGGUCUUGGGGCGUCACUUAUGGGUCUCGGGGCGUCACUUAUGGGUCUCAGGGGGUCACUUAUGGGUCUCAGGGCGUCACUUAUGGGGCAGCGCGGUCACUUAUGGGUCUCUGGGCGUCACUUAUGGGGCAGUGCUGUCACUUAUGGGUCUCGUGGCGUCACUUGUGGGGCAGGCUUGAAUUACUACGUGCGCAUCCUGAGCANCCAGCCCCACGGCUGACCCCCGUAGCCGCCCCACAGAAGCUGCAGCAGGAGCUGGAGUUCCUGGAGGUGCAGGAGAACUGACCCCCCCCCAUAACCACCCCUAGCCCCAUAGCUGCCCCAUAGCUGCUCCAUAGCCACCCUCAGCCCCAUAGCCGCCCCAUAGCUGCCCCACAUCCACCUCCAGCCCCAUGGCUGACCCCCGUAGCCGCCCCACAGAAGCUGCAGCAGGAGCUGGAGUUCCUGGAGGUGCAGGAGAACUGACCCCCCCCCCAUAUCCACCCCUAGCCCACCCCAUAUCCACUCCCAGCCCCAUAGCUGCCCCGUAGUCGCCCCAUAGCUGACCCAUACCCGCUCCCCAGCCGCAUAGCCGCCCCAUAGCUGCCCCAUAGUCAGCCCCAGCCCCACGGCUGACCCACAGCAGCUGCAGGAGGAGCUGCAGGUGCAGGAGGACUGAUCCCCCCUAUAGCCACCCCCAGCCCCAUAGCCGCCCCAUAGGUGCCCCAUAGCCGCCCCACAACCACCCCCAGCCCCACGGCUGACCCCCACAGCCGCCCCACAGAAGCUGCAGCAGGAGCUGGAGUUCCUGGAGGUGCAGGAGAACUGACCCCCCCCAUAGCCACUUCUAGGCCACCCCAUAUCCACUCCCAGCCCCAUAGCCGCCCCAUAGCCUCCCCAUAGCCACCCCCAGCCCCACGGCUGACCCCCGUAGCCGCCCCACAGAAGCUGCAGCAGGAGCUGGAGUUCCUGGGAGUGCAGGAGGACACACCCCCCCCAUAACUACCCCCAACCUACCCCAUAGCCACCCCCAGCCCCAUGGCUGCCCCGUAGCUGCCUCAUAGCUGCCCCAUACCUGCUCCCCAGCCCCAUAGCUGCCCCAUAGCUGCCCCAUACCUGCUCCCCAGCCCCAUAGCUGCCCCAUAACCACCCCCAGCCCCACUGCUGAUCCACAGAAGCUGCAGCAGGAGCUGGAGUUCCUGGAGGUGCAGGAGGACACAUGCCCCCCUUAACAACCCCCAACCUGCCCCAGAGCCACCCCCAGCCCCAUAGCCGCCCCACAUCCACCCCCAGCCCCACGGCUGAC
ensembl:lncRNA